rnacentral:rRNA from 1 species
CCGGUUGAUCCUGCCGGACCUGACUGCUAUCGGAUUGAUACUAAGCCAAGCGAGUCAUUGUAGCAAUACAAGGCAGACGGCUCAGUAACGCGUAGUCAACCUAACCUAUGGACGGGAAUAACCUCGGGAAACUGAGAAUAAUGCCCGAUAGAACAUUAUGCCUGGAAUGGUUUAUGUUUCAAAUGAUUUAUCGCCGUAGGAUGGGACUGCGGCCUAUCAGUUUGUUGGUGAGGUAAUGGCCCACCAAGACUAUUACAGGUACGGGCUCUGAGAGGAGUAGCCCGGAGAUGGGUACUGAGACACGGACCCAGGCCCUAUGGGGCGCAGCAGGCGAGAAAACUUUGCAAUGUGCGAAAGCACGACAAGGUUAAUCCGAGUGAUUUGUGCUAAACGAAUCUUUUGUUAGUCCUAGAAACACUAACGAAUAAGGGGUGGGCAAGUUCUGGUGUCAGCCGCCGCGGUAAAACCAGCACCUCAAGUGGUCAGGAUGAUUAUUGGGCCUAAAGCAUCCGUAGCCGGCUCUGUAAGUUUUCGGUUAAAUCUGUACGCUUAACGUACAGGCUGCCGGGAAUACUGCAUAGCUAGGAAGUGGCAGAGGUAGACGGUACUCGGUAGGAAGGGGUAAAAUCCUUUGAUCUAUUGAUGACCACCUGUGGCGAAGGCGGUCUACCAGAACACGUUCGACGGUGAGGGAUGAAAGCUGGGGGAGCAAACCGGAUUAGAUACCCGGGUAGUCCCAGCUGUAAACUAUGCAAACUCAGUGAUGCAUUGGCUUGUGGCCAAUGCAGUGCUGCAGGGAAGCCGUUAAGUUUGCCGCCUGGGAAGUACGUACGCAAGUAUGAAACUUAAAGGAAUUGGCGGGGGAGCAC